AUUGAACGCUGGCGGCAGGCCUAACACAUGCAAGUCGAGCGAGCGGCGGAAGGGAGAGUAAUGUAUGGGGACUGCCCGAUAGAGGGGGAUAACUACUGGAAACGGUAGCUAAUACCGCAUACUAUCGGAUAACCCAUAUGGGAUUAGCUAGUAGGUGAGGUAAUGGCUCACCUAGGCGACGAUCCCUAGCUGGUCUGAGAGGAUGAUCAGCCACACGAGGACCGAGACACGGCCCAGACUGCUACGGAAGCAGCAGUGGGGAAUCUUGCACAAUGGGUGAAAGCCUGAUGCAGCCAUGCCGCGUGUAUGAAGAAGGCCCUAGGGUUGUAAAGUACUUUCAGUAGAGAGGCGUAACAGACAGAAGAAGCACCGGCUAACUCCGUGCCAGCAGCCGCGGUAAUAC
rnacentral:rRNA from 1 species